rnacentral:rRNA from 1 species
AAAACUUUCAACAACGGAUCUCUUGGUUCUGGCAUCGAUGAAGAACGCAGCGAAAUGCGAUAAGUAAUGUGAAUUGCAGAAUUCCGUGAAUCAUCGAAUCUUUGAACGCACAUUGCGCCCUUUGGUAUUCCGAAGGGCAUGCCUGUUCGAGCGUUAUU